GGGUUGUGAGGUUAAGCGACUAAGCGUACACGGUGGAUGCCCUGGCAGUCAGAGGCGAUGAAGGACGUGCUAAUCUGCGAUAAGCGUCGGUAAGGUGAUAUGAACCGUUAUAACCGGCGAUUUCCGAAUGGGGAAACCCAGUGUGAUUCGUCACACUAUCAUUAACUGAAUCCAUAGGUUAAUGAGGCGAACCGGGGGAACUGAAACAUCUAAGUACCCCGAGGAAAAGAAAUCAACCGAGAUUCCCCCAGUAGCGGCGAGCGAACGGGGAGCAGCCCAGAGCCUGAAUCAGUGUGUGUGUUAGUGGAAGCGUCUGGAAAGGCGUGCGAUACAGGGUGACAGCCCCGUACACAAAAAUGCACAUACUGUGAGCUCGAUGAGUAGGGCGGGACACGUGGUAUCCUGUCUGAAUAUGGGGGGACCAUCCUCCAAGGCUAAAUACUCCUGACUGACCGAUAGUGAACCAGUACCGUGAGGGAAAGGCGAAAAGAACCCCGGCGAGGGGAGUGAAAAAGAACCUGAAACCGUGUACGUACAAGCAGUGGGAGCACGCUUAGGCGUGUGACUGCGUACCUUUUGUAUAAUGGGUCAGCGACUUAUAUUCUGUAGCAAGGUUAACCGAAUAGGGGAGCCGAAGGGAAACCGAGUCUUAACUGGGCGUUAAGUUGCAGGGUAUAGACCCGAAACCCGGUGAUCUAGCCAUGGGCAGGUUGAAGGUUGGGUAACACUAACUGGAGGACCGAACCGACUAAUGUUGAAAAAUUAGCGGAUGACUUGUGGCUGGGGGUGAAAGGCCAAUCAAACCGGGAGAUAGCUGGUUCUCCCCGAAAGCUAUUUAGGUAGCGCCUCGUGAAUUCAUCUCCGGGGGUAGAGCACUGUUUCGGCAAGGGGGUCAUCCCGACUUACCAACCCGAUGCAAACUGCGAAUACCGGAGAAUGUUAUCACGGGAGACACACGGCGGGUGCUAACGUCCGUCGUGAAGAGGGAAACAACCCAGACCGCCAGCUAAGGUCCCAAAGUCAUGGUUAAGUGGGAAACGAUGUGGGAAGGCCCAGACAGCCAGGAUGUUGGCUUAGAAGCAGCCAUCAUUUAAAGAAAGCGUAAUAGCUCACUGGUCGAGUCGGCCUGCGCGGAAGAUGUAACGGGGCUAAACCAUGCACCGAAGCUGCGGCAGCGACGCUUAUGCGUUGUUGGGUAGGGGAGCGUUCUGUAAGCCUGCGAAGGUGUGCUGUGAGGCAUGCUGGAGGUAUCAGAAGUGCGAAUGCUGACAUAAGUAACGAUAAAGCGGGUGAAAAGCCCGCUCGCCGGAAGACCAAGGGUUCCUGUCCAACGUUAAUCGGGGCAGGGUGAGUCGACCCCUAAGGCGAGGCCGAAAGGCGUAGUCGAUGGGAAACAGGUUAAUAUUCCUGUACUUGGUGUUACUGCGAAGGGGGGACGGAGAAGGCUAUGUUGGCCGGGCGACGGUUGUCCCGGUUUAAGCGUGUAGGCUGGUUUUCCAGGCAAAUCCGGAAAAUCAAGGCUGAGGCGUGAUGACGAGGCACUACGGUGCUGAAGCAACAAAUGCCCUGCUUCCAGGAAAAGCCUCUAAGCAUCAGGUAACAUCAAAUCGUACCCCAAACCGACACAGGUGGUCAGGUAGAGAAUACCAAGGCGCUUGAGAGAACUCGGGUGAAGGAACUAGGCAAAAUGGUGCCGUAACUUCGGGAGAAGGCACGCUGAUAUGUAGGUGAAGCGACUUGCUCGUGGAGCUGAAAUCAGUCGAAGAUACCAGCUGGCUGCAACUGUUUAUUAAAAACACAGCACUGUGCAAACACGAAAGUGGACGUAUACGGUGUGACGCCUGCCCGGUGCCGGAAGGUUAAUUGAUGGGGUCAGCGCAAGCGAAGCUCUUGAUCGAAGCCCCGGUAAACGGCGGCCGUAACUAUAACGGUCCUAAGGUAGCGAAAUUCCUUGUCGGGUAAGUUCCGACCUGCACGAAUGGCGUAAUGAUGGCCAGGCUGUCUCCACCCGAGACUCAGUGAAAUUGAACUCGCUGUGAAGAUGCAGUGUACCCGCGGCAAGACGGAAAGACCCCGUGAACCUUUACUAUAGCUUGACACUGAACAUUGAGCCUUGAUGUGUAGGAUAGGUGGGAGGCUUUGAAGUGUGGACGCCAGUCUGCAUGGAGCCGACCUUGAAAUACCACCCUUUAAUGUUUGAUGUUCUAACGUGGACCCGUAAUCCGGGUUGCGGACAGUGUCUGGUGGGUAGUUUGACUGGGGCGGUCUCCUCCUAAAGAGUAACGGAGGAGCACGAAGGUUGGCUAAUCCUGGUCGGACAUCAGGAGGUUAGUGCAAUGGCAUAAGCCAGCUUGACUGCGAGCGUGACGGCGCGAGCAGGUGCGAAAGCAGGUCAUAGUGAUCCGGUGGUUCUGAAUGGAAGGGCCAUCGCUCAACGGAUAAAAGGUACUCCGGGGAUAACAGGCUGAUACCGCCCAAGAGUUCAUAUCGACGGCGGUGUUUGGCACCUCGAUGUCGGCUCAUCACAUCCUGGGGCUGAAGUAGGUCCCAAGGGUAUGGCUGUUCGCCAUUUAAAGUGGUACGCGAGCUGGGUUUAGAACGUCGUGAGACAGUUCGGUCCCUAUCUGCCGUGGGCGCUGGAGAACUGAGGGGGGCUGCUCCUAGUACGAGAGGACCGGAGUGGACGCAUCACUGGUGUUCGGGUUGUCAUGCCAAUGGCACUGCCCGGUAGCUAAAUGCGGAAGAGAUAAGUGCUGAAAGCAUCUAAGCACGAAACUUGCCCCGAGAUGAGUUCUCCCUGACUCCUUGAGAGUCCUGAAGGAACGUUGAAGACGACGACGUUGAUAGGCCGGGUGUGUAAGCGCAGCGAUGCGUUGAGCUAACCGGUACUAAUGAACCGUGAGGCUUAACCUUACAACGCCGAAG
rnacentral:rRNA from 1 species